GAUGAACGCUGGCGGCGUGCCUAAUACAUGCAAGUCGAGCGAAUGGAUUAAGAGCUUGCUCUUAUGAAGUUAGCGGCGGACGGGUGAGUAACACGUGGGUAACCUGCCCAUAAGACUGGGAUAACUCCGGGAAACCGGGGCUAAUACCGGAUAACAUUUUGAACCGCAUGGUUCGAAAUUGAAAGGCGGCUUCGGCUGUCACUUAUGGAUGGACCCGCGUCGCAUUAGCUAGUUGGUGAGGUAACGGCACACCAAGGCAACGAUGCGUAGCCGACCUGAGAGGGUGAUCGGCCACACUGGGACUGAGACACGGCCCAGACUCCUACGGGAGGCAGCAGUAGGGAAUCUUCCGCAAUGGACGAAAGUCUGACGGAGCAACGCCGCGUGAGUGAUGAAGGCUUUCGGGUCGUAAAACUCUGUUGUUAGGGAAGAACAAGUGCUAGUUGAAUAAGCUAGCACCUUGACGGUACCUAACCAGAAAGCCACGGCUAACUACGUGCCAGCCGCCGCUGUAA
rnacentral:rRNA from 1 species